GGAACUACCAUGUCCUGGCAUUCCCUCUGGGCUAGGUACCAGCUAGACCCUGGAGGUACAGAAGGAAACAAACCUGGUUCCUUCAGGGGUACUGCUUCGUGGGGGGACACAUACUCACAACACUCCAUGCCAAGUGGCAAACAGAGUUCUGCAUGGGCAGGCCCGGAGACAGCACAAGGGAGGGAGGCCUCCCAAGGCCAGUUCCAGAAGGCUUCCCAGAGGAGGCAGCACUUGCACUCCCUGAGCCUUAAAGGAAGGAUGGAUUCAUGGGAGGUCUUCAAGCUGACCUGGUUGAGGGAAGGCUUUGGGUGGAGGGAAAAGCAUGUACAAUGGCAUGGUGGGUGAGGUGGGUUGGCACGCAUUCAGAGAACUAUGAAUGAGUCUUGUGGAUGGAGCCUGGAGAGUGAGGUAGGGAUGGGGGGUGCAAGGUAGGAUAGGUAGGCAGGCUUAGGUCUCACUUUUGAUGGGAUGCCAAGAAAGGAUUGAGACAAUGAUCCCAGACUGUCAUUCCACACUUUCUAAGCACUGAUGGCAGGCCAUGUCCCAUGCUAGAACCGGGGUGGGGUGAGAGUGGGGGAGCAGAGAUGAGCCUGACUCAGUCCCUGCACCCAUGGGGACUCUAGAAGGACACACAAAUAUUCCCUCUUUUCAAGCUGGUUAGUACCAACUUGGCUCCAAGUGAGAUUCAGGCCAGACAUGGUAUUUCUGGGGCUCCAAUUGUUGGCUAGACCUGUGUACAGCCCCUUGCCUACGGACGGAGAUAUCCAGACAAGCAGUCUCGCUGCUCAGAGGGGAGCUGACAUCUGGGGGCCUGCCCCUGACAACUACCUGGCCUCCCAAGGAUACAUCUUACGGUAAUCCAGGGCCUUGGGGAGAAAUGCAGAUGGAUGAGAGGAUAAACUAGAACCCUGGGGAUGGGGGCAAGACAUGGAUUGAGAGAUGUUUAGUAGGUGGACUCACCAGGACUGCUGGAUGCUGGGGAAGAGAGAUCAAGGGAAGUGUCCUGGAUGGCACUCAGGAUUUCUAUAUUGGGCAGUGCCAUCCUUGGGAAACAUGGGAGGAUGUGAGAUCAGAAAGGGAAAAUGAGUUGGAACUGUUCCAGGAUGCUGGAAUCAGGAUUCAUUGGGUAGAGGCCCAAGAGCCUUAGGAAUUCAAAUGCACCACACCUAAGCUGCCUUCAGGAGCUUUCUUCUUCACAUGGAAAUCUUCUUUACUCUCUCCCUUCCCUCCUUUACUCUUUCCAUCAGCAGCCCUCUCUGAGCACCUCCCUUUCCAGGCUGGCUCUGGACCAAGCAGAGAGGCAAAGAUCUGAGGGUCAUCCUGUUCUUUGUCCAAAAGGCCAGCACAGAGAAUGGUACUUCUAGCAUAUCCCCCAGGACCUUUCUGCAUGAAAACUUGGGCUGGAAAUUGAAGCUAAUGUUUCAAAUUUACUUUAUUAUUGGAAAGAUUUAAGAACUAACCUUGGCUGGGCACAGUGAUUCAUGCCUGUAAUCCCAACACUUUGGGAGGCCAAGGCAGGAGGACUGCUUGAGCCCAGGAAUUUGAGACCACCCUGGGCAACACAGUGAGACCCUGUCUCUACAAAAUAAAUAAAUAAAUAUAUGGAUAAGAACUAACCAUUGUGGUGCAAGCAACAAACUGACUCAGGUUAAACAAAACAGAAAAAACCUAUUGAAAGUUCCACCAGGCAUCUCAGAAUGGAUGAGAAAGCUGGAGAUGAAUGAACAGCUGAAUUCACAAUCAAGUUCAUAACAUAGGAACAGCUGAUUCCAGUGUCUCCAACAGCAUGAUCUUGGCCUCUGAACAUCACCCCACUGCAUAUCCAGACUGUGGCAUGACAAAAGCACAAUGAGUUCUAAUGAAGCUUCCUCCCAGCCUCACCAAUUUUCACAUCAAAUCCUGAGCCAGGCACUCUGUCGGCCAAAUUGCAGGGAGUGGAAGUGAAAGAGUAUCUGGCCACGUUUGACUUUGAAGUGGGAGAUGGGAUCCUAGUUUCCAUAAAGCCUCACCUAGUGGGAGAUUUACUCAAAAUACAAAGCAACGGAUUAGUCCUAUGCAGCAAAAAAAAAAAGAAAAAAAA
ensembl:lncRNA